GCCGCGAAUUCGCCCUUAGAGUUUGAUUAUGGCUCAGAUUGAACGCUGGCGGCAGGCCUAACACAUGCAAGUCGAGCGGUAGCACAGGAGAGCUUGCUCUCCGGGUGACGAGCGGCGGACGGGUGAGUAAUGUCUGGGAAACUGCCCGAUGGAGGGGGAUAACCACUGGAAACGGUGGCUAAUACCGCAUAACGUCUACGGACCAAAGAGGGGGACCUUCGGGCCUCUUGCCAUCGGAUGUGCCCAGAUGGGAUUAGCUAGUAGGUGGGGUAACGGCUCACCUAGGCGACGAUCCCUAGCUGGUCUGAGAGGAUGACCAGCCACACUGGAACUGAGACACGGUCCAGACUCCUACGGGAGGCAGCAGUGGGGAAUAUUGCACAAUGGGCGCAAGCCUGAUGCAGCCAUGCCGCGUGUGUGAAGAAGGCCUUCGGGUUGUAAAGCACUUUCAGCGAGGAGGAAGGCCAAUAGCUUAAUACGCUGUUGGAUUGACGUUACUCGCAGAAGAAGCACCGGCUAACUCCGUGCCAGCAGCCGCGGUAAUACGGAGGGUGCAAGCGUUAAUCGGAAUUACUGGGCGUAAAGCGCACGCAGGCGGUUUGUUAAGUCAGAUGUGAAAUCCCCGCGCUUAACGUGGGAACUGCAUUUGAAACUGGCAAGCUAGAGUCUCGUAGAGGGGGGUAGAAUUCCAGGUGUAGCGGUGAAAUGCGUAGAGAUCUGGAGGAAUACCGGUGGCGA
rnacentral:rRNA from 1 species